rnacentral:rRNA from 1 species
CGCGAAAGGGGCUUCGGCCCUGAGUAGAGUGGCAAACGGGUGAGUAACACGUGGGUGACCUGCCUUCGAGUGGGGGAUAACGUCCCGAAAGGGACGCUAAUACCGCAUGACAUCCUGCUUUUGGAAAAGCGGAGAUCAAAGCUGGGGAUCGCAAGACCUGGCGCUUGAAGAGGGGCCCGUGCCUGAUUAGCUAGUUGGUGGGGUAACGGCCCACCAAGGCGACGACCAGUAUCCGGCCUGAGAGGGCGGACGGACACACUGGGACUGAGACACGGCCCAGACUCCUACGGGAGGCAGCAGUGGGGAAUUGUUCGCAAUGGGCGCAAGCCUGACGACGCAACGCCGCGUGGAGGAUGAAGAUCUUCGGGUCGUAAACUCCUGUCGAGCGGGAAGAAUAGUUUCGGGGUAAACAUCCUCGAAGCCUGACGGUACCGCUAAAGGAAGCCCCGGCUAACUCCGUGCCAGCAGCCGCGGUAAUACAGGGGGGGCAAGCGUUG